UAGAAGGUGGGAAGCAGGGCAUUGAGG
rnacentral:piRNA from 1 species